rnacentral:tRNA from 1 species
GGGAAUGUGGCUUAGUGGUGGAGUGCGUGCCUAGCAUGCAUGAAGCCCUGGGUUUGAUUCCUCAAUACCA